GGUCUCACACGGGAUAGGCAAUCACUUGACUACUGACUGUGUCCCCAGCCAUUUGGUUUUUUGUUUUGUUUUGUUGUUGUUGGUGGUGUUUUGCUUGUUUGUUUGUUUGUUUGUUUGAGGCAGGGUCUUUUUAAGUUAUCUUUGCUACAGCCUAAUUUGCAGCUUCAACCUACCAAUUUGUGCCCAGGAACGAGGACCAGGACUGAGGAUGCCCUCUUUCUGCACAAUGCCUGCACAUGCAGAGUCUCUGCAUUUUGACACCCACAAGCUCCGCAGCUUCCCUCUCCUACUGUGACUCAUCAGCAUUCUCCUUUCCAGUGUUUUGGAGUGGGUGUUGAUGGAGGGGAACGUGGAUUUCCAGAUAGCAUCUCAUGCAGCCCAGCCUGGUCUUGAACUCAUUGUGAAGCCAAGGAAGGCCAUGAACUCCUGAUUUCCUCUUCUACCUUCCAAGUGUGGAGAUUACAGACACACACACCUUUAAUUACAGAACUUGGGAGACAGAUUCGAGUGGAUCUCUGUGAGUUCAAGGCCAGCUUGGUCUGUAUUGCAAGUUCCCAGGCCAAGUAGGGCUACAUAAUGAGAUCCUGGCAAAAAGAAAAGAAAAGUAAGAAGGAAGAGGAGGAGAAGAAGAAAAAGAAGAAGGAAAAAGAAAAGGAGGAGAUGGGGAUAAAGGAGAAGAAGGAGAAGAAGAAGGAGGAGAAAGAAGAGGAGGAGGAAGAGGAAGAAGAGGAGGAGGAGGAGGAGGAGGAAGAAGAAGAAGAAGAAGAAGAAGAAGAAGAAGAAGAAGAAGAAGAAGAAGAAGAAGAAGAAGAAGAAGAAAGCAAGAGCAAGCUCCCUCCACUGCUUUGUGUUUUAAGAGAGAAUGACUGUUCAGUGUCCCUGGAAACUCACCAGAAAGCGAAUCAUUGUGAAGCAGCUCAUGUCUUCUCCAUAAAAAUAACGCUGCCUGCUGUUGAGACUGCCUUCUAGAGGAAGAAUUGGCAUGAGAAGCCAGGCGUGACUGGCGAUGGCACAGGAGCAAAGAACUAUAAACCUUUAUCGUCACUUCAUAUAAUAAACGUAUAAUAUAAUAAACUUAAUAUAAUAAACGUGCGCUCUGAUACCUUUUCAAAUGCCCAGAAAUGGAGAGCGCACCCUGAUUACACAGAAGGCCAUAAAAUGAACAUGCUGCACAUAAAAAAAUUAUACCGUUGUAUAAAUUUU
rnacentral:lncRNA from 1 species